rnacentral:lncRNA from 1 species
GAUGCAAACGAGGCGGAUCUGAGAGUUUGAAUUGGGUCCGAUUCGGAGUUAAUUAAUUUUUAUCUUAUUUUUGUUUCUAUUUAUCGUUUCAUUCGUAGGACAGAUCGAAACGAAAGCAGAAUUUUAACGAAUUUUUGGUAUGUCGGAAGGAAUCAUAAGAAGAAGGAAAUUUCUCGUCUUUCAUUGUUUUUUUUUUGACAGAUCGGGACUGAUUAGGUACAGAUUAUUUUUCUAUAUUUUCGGCUCUUAUGUAGGGUCUCAUUCGGGGCGGAUCGGAAUGAAAGCCCCAGCAGCAAUCCGGAUCCGUUUG